rnacentral:snoRNA from 1 species
AAUUUUUGUAAAUAAGUAUUAAAUCACUAAUGGAAAAAUUCAAAAGAAAAAAGAAUUAGCAAUGCCAUGUUAUGAGCCUUAUGACAUUGGGGUCAUUAAGGUCCCUAAAAGUGGCUAUAUGA